UACGUAGGGGGCAAGCGUUAUCCGGAUUCACUGGGCGUAAAGGGAGCGCAGGCGGCACGGCAAGUCUGGUGUGAAAACCCGGGGCUCAACCCCGGGACUGCAUUGGAAACUGCCGGGCUGGAGUGUCGGAGGGGUAAGCGGAAUUCCUAGUGUAGCGGUGAAAUGCGUAGAUAUUAGGAGGAACACCAGUGGCGAAGGCGGCUUACUGGACGAUGACUGACACUGAGGCUCGAAAGCGUGGGGAGCAAACAGG
rnacentral:rRNA from 1 species